GGUAGCCUAGUGGUUAGAGCGUAGAGGCGGCAGGGUAGCCUAGUGGUUAGAGCGUAGAGGUGGCAGGUAGCCUAGUGGUUAGAGCGUAGAGGCGGCAGGUAGCCUAGUGGUUAGAGCGUAGAGGCGGCAGGUAGCCUAGUGGUUAGAGCGUAGAGGUGGCAGGUAGCCUAGUGGUUAGAGCGUAGAGGCGGCAGGUAGCCUAGUGGUUAGAGCGUAGAGGCGGCAGGUAGCCUAGUGGUUAGAGCGUAGAGGCGGCAGGUAGCCUAGUGGUUAGAGCGUAGAGGCGGCAGGUAGCCUAGUGGUUAGAGCGUAGAGGCGGCAGGUAGCCUAGUGGUUAGAGCGUAGAGGCGGCAGGUAGCCUAGUGGUUAGAGCGUAGAGGCGGCAGGUAGCCUAGUGGUUAGAGCGUAGAGGCGACAGGUAGCCUAGUGGUUAGAGCGUAGAGGCGGCAGGUAGCCUAGUGGUUAGAGCGUAGAGGCGGCAGGUAGCCUAGUGGUUAGAGCGUAGAGGCGGCAGGUAGCCUAGUGGUUAGAGCGUAGAGGCGGCAGGUAGCCUAGUGGUUA